rnacentral:misc_RNA from 1 species
CUCCAAGCAAACAACAACAACAAAAAAAAGUGGAAGGAAAAAAGAGAGAGAUCCACGAACGCGGGCCGGUCUAGACGAAGCUGACGGCGGAGGGGAGGAUCCGCGACCCGACGAGGUAGGCGAGGAAGCCGGCGAAGGCGAGCAGGAAGGCGUAGUCUACCGCGACGAACAGCGCCGUGGACCCGUGGCUCCUGCUCUUGGACGCCUUCUCCCCCGCUCGGGCGCGGAGCCUAUUGUCCUUGUCCAUCUCCAGCUCCCCCUCACUUUCUCCGGUUCCGGCGACGUUGUGCACUCGCGCGGUGCGGGGCUGGAGCCUGGAUGGGCGAAGUGGCGGUUCACUGGUUCGCCGCGGUCGAAUAGAGAUCUGCAGGAUGAUCGAAGAG